rnacentral:misc_RNA from 1 species
GAUGAAGAACGCAGCGAAAUGCGAUAAGUAAUGUGAAUUGCAGAAUUCAGUGAAUCAUCGAAUCUUUGAACGCACAUUGCGCCCCCUGGUAUUCCGGGGGGCAUGCCUGUUCGAGCGUCAUUUCACCACUCAAGCCUCGCUUGGUAUUGGGCGACGCGGUCCGCCGCGCGCCUCAAAUCGACCGGCUGGGUCUUUCGUCCCCUCAGCGUUGUGGAAACUAUUCACUAAAGGGUGCCGCGGGAGGCCACGCCGUAAAACAACCCCAUUUCUAAGGUUGACCUCGGAUCAGGUAGGGAUACCCGCUGAACUUAAGCAUAUCAAUAAGCGGAGGA